UUCCUUUUUUCUAUAAUUCUGAAUAUUCAAUAAAAAAUGAUUUAAAAAUAGAUUGAGGGUAUAAUUGUAUUUCGAUUUAACAAAAACUAUCGUUCCCCAUUUUUACUCCAUUAAUUAAUAGGUUUACCCACCCCCACCAACAAUUUUCAAUCAUUCACCAAAUCCUACCCCAAAAAUUUUUCAUCGGCGGCUGAUCAACACCAGAAUGUUAAAUUUGACUUGAAUCUCCCACUACAAUCAUGAAGGUGAUUAAGGAAUCCUGGGAGAAGCAGACAACACUAAGAUCACCAAGCAAGAAUUGGAUUUCCUCUUGGAUGAAGAGCAGUAUUAAGAUGAAGUGUUGUAUUUGUAUGUCAUUUAUGUUUGUUCAGAAAAGUUGUAUUGUUAUUCGACAUUUUAUAGUGACAUAUUCGUUUUAAUAUGAAUAGUGGAUUGCUUUAAAUUAUUGUAGAUUUAUAUAACAUUUAUUUUUAUUUAGAAUAUUUGUAUUGUUAUUCGACAUCUUAUAAUGACAUAUUCAUUAAAUAUGAAA